rnacentral:rRNA from 1 species
UACGUAGGGGGCAAGCGUUGUCCGGAUUUAUUGGGCGUAAAGAGCGUGUAGGCGGUUAGAUAGGUCUGCUGUGAAAACUCCAGGCUCAACCUGGAGACGUCGGUGGAAACCAUCUAACUAGAGUCCGGAAGAGGAGAGUGGAAUUCCUGGUGUAGCGGUGAAAUGCGCAGAUAUCAGGAAGAACACCCGUUGCGAAGGCGGCUCUCUGGGACGGUACUGACGCUGAGACGCGAAAGCGUGGGGAGCGAACAGG